UCCUCGGUGGCGCAAUUGGCUAGCGCGUCUGACUGUUAAAUUACUUGGUAACAAGCAGUUACAGUUAAUCAGGAGGUUGAAAGUUCGAGCCUUUCCCGGGGAG